UACGUAGGGUCGAGACGUUAAUCGGAAUUACUGGGCGUAAAGCGUGCGCAGGCGGUUCGUUGUGUCGGCGGUGAAAGCCCCGGGCUUAACCUGGGAAUGGCCGUUGAAACUGGCGAACUGGAGUGUGGCAGAGGGGGGUGGAAUUCCGCGUGUAGCAGUGAAAUGCGUAGAGAUGCGGAGGAACACCGAUGGCGAAGGCAGCCCCCUGGGCUGACACUGACGCCUCAGGCACGAAAGCGUGGGGAGCAAACAGG
rnacentral:rRNA from 1 species